rnacentral:hammerhead_ribozyme from 1 species
AUCCAGCUGACGAGCCACAAAUAGGACGAAACGCGCAUCCUGGAU